UAUUCUUUUAGAUUUUUGGUCAAUAUUUUUAUUUUAAAAAAAAUAAUUUUCAAAAAUUCUAUUUUAGGAAAGUUUUCAUUUUUUAUAGAAAUAUUGUAGAUUUGGGUUGUGAUUUAGAAAUUCAGAUUACAAGAAUUUUUAUUGAUAGAUGAGUAUUCUUUUAGAUAUUUUGAUCAAUAGGUUUUAUAUUUUAGAUAAAAUUCUCAAAAAUAUUAUUUUUGAAAAUUUUCAUUUUUAUAGAGAAAUAUUAUAGAUUUGAGGUUGUGAUUUGUAAAUUAGGAUAACAAGAAUUGCUGUAGAUAGAUGAGUAUUCUUUUAGAUUUUUUGAUCAAUAGGUUGUAUAUUUUAGAUAAAAUUCUCAAAAAUUCUACUUUAGGAAAGUUUUCAUUUUUCUGAAUAAUAGUGUGGGUUUGGGGUUUUGAUUUAGAAAUUAGGAUAAUAAGAAUUUUUUUUGUUUAUAGAAGAGUAUUCUUUUGGAUUUUUUGAUCAAUAGUUGUAUUUUUUUAAAAUAAUUCUAAAAAAUUCUAUUCUAGGAAAGUUUUUAUUUUUUAUAGAAAUAUUGUAGAUUUGGGGUUUUUAUUUAGAAAUUAGAAUAACAAGAAUUGUUUUUGAUAGAUGAGUAUUUUUUUAAGAUUUUUUUAUCAAUAGGUUGUAUAUUUUAGAUAAAAUUCCAUGAAAUUCUAUUUUAGGAAAGUUUUCAUUUUUGUGAAUAAUAGUGUGGAUUUGGGGUUUUAAUUUAGAAAUUAGGAUAUCAAGAAUUUUUUGUUUAUAGAUGAGUAUUAAUCUUUUAGAUUUUUGAUCAAUAUUUUUAUUUUUAAAGAAUAAUUCCCAAAAAUUAUAUUUUAGGAAAGUUUUCAUUUUUUAUAUAUAAAUAUUGUAGAUUUGGGUUGUGAUUUAGAAAUUUGGAUAACAAGAAUUUUUGUUGAUAGAUGAGUAUUCUUUUAGAUAUUUUGAUCAAUAGGUUUUAUAUUUUAGAUAAAAUUCUCAAAUAAUUUAUUUUUUGAAAUUUUUUAUUUUUAUAGAGAAAUAUUGUAGAUUUGAGGUUGUGAUUUAUAUAUUUGGAUAACAAGAAUUUCUGUAGAUAGAUGAGUAUUCUUUUAGAUUUUUUGAUCAAUAGGUUGUAUAUUUGAGAUAAAAUUCUCAAAAAUUCUACUUUAGGAAAGUUUUCAUUUUUGUGAAUAAUAGUGUGGGUUUGGGAUUUUGAUUUAGAAAUUAGGAUAACAAGUAUUUUUUUUGUUUAUAGAUGAGUAUUCUUUUAGAUUUUUUGAUCAAUAGUUGUAUUUUUUAAAAAUAAUUAUAAAAAAUUCUAUUCUUGGAAAGUUUUAAUUUCUUAUAGAAAUAUUGUAGAUUUUGGGUUUUGAUUUAAAAAUUAGGACAACAAGAAUUUUUGUUGAUAGAUGAGUAUUUUUUAAGAUUUGUUUUAUCAAUAGGUUGUAUAUUUUAGAUAAAAUUCUCAAAACUUCUAUUUUAGGAAAAUUUUCAUUUUUGUGAAUAAUAGUGUGGAUUUGGGGUUUUGAUUUAGAAAUUAGGAUAACAAGAAUUGUUUUGUUUAUAGAUGAGUAUUCUUUUAGAUUUUUUGAUCAAUAGUUGUAUUUUUUAAAAAUAAUUCUAAAAAAAAUCUAUUCUAGGAAAGUUUUCAUUUUUUAUAGAAUUGUUGUAGAUUUGGGGUUUUGAUUUAAAAAUUAGGAUAACAAGAAUUUUUGCUUAUAGAUGAGUUUUUUUUAAGAUUUUUUUAUCAAUAGAUUGUAUAUUUUAGAUAAAAUUCUCAAAAAUUCUAUUUAAGGAAAGUUUUCAUUUUUGUGAAUAAUAGUGUGGAUUUGGGGUUUUGAUUUAGAAAUUAGGAUAACAAGAUUUUUUUUUUUAUAGAUGAGAAUUUUUUUAGAUUUUUUGAUCAAUAUGUGUAUUUUUUUUUAAAUAAUUCUCAAAAAUUCUAUUUUAGGAAAAUUUUCAUUUUCUAUAGAAUUAUUGUAGACUGGAGGUUGUGGUUUAGAAACUAGGAAAACAAGAACUUUUGCAAAUAGAUGAGUAUUUUUUUUUUGAUCAAUAAAUUUUAUAUUUUAGAUAAAAUUCUCAAAAAUUCUAUUUUAGGAAAGUUUUCAUUUUUAUAGAGAAAUAUUAUAGAUUUGAGGCUGUGAUUUAUAAAUUAGGAUAACAAGAAUUUUUGUAGAUUGAUGAGUAUUCUUUUAGAUUUUUUGAUCAAUAGGUUGUAUAUUUUAGAUAAAAUUCUCAAAAAUUUUAUUUUAGGAAAGUUUUCAUUUUUGUGAAUAAUAGUGUUAAUUUGGGGUUUUGAUUUAGAAAUUAGGAUAACAAGAAUUUUUUUGUUUAUAGAUGAGUAUUCUUUUAGAUUUUUUGAUUAAUAGUUGUAUUUUUUAAAAAUAAUUCUCAAAAAUUCUAUUUUAGGAAAGUUUUCAUUUUUUAUAGAAAUAGUGUAGAUUGGGGGUUGUGAUUUAGAAACUAGGAUAACAAGAAUUUUUGUGGAUAGAUGAGUAUUUUUUUUAGAUUUUUUGAUCAAUAGGUUUUAUAUUUUAGAUAAAAUUCUCAAAAAUUCUCUUUUAGGAAAAUUUUCAUUUUUGUGAAUAAUAGUGUGGAUUUGCGGUUUUUAUUUAGAAAUUAGGAUAACAAGAAUUUUUUUGUUUAUAGAUGAGAAUUUCUUUUAGAUUUUUUUAUCAAUAGUUAUAUUUCUUUAAAAAUAAUUCUCAAAAAUUCUAUUUUUGGAAAGUUUUCAUUUUCUAUAGAAUUAUUGUAGAUUGGGGGUUGUGGUUUAUAAACUAUGAAAACAAGAACUUUUGCGGAUAGAUAAGUAUUUUUUUUUUGUUUUUUUGAUCAAUAGAUUUUAUAUUUUUGAUAAAAUUCUCAAAAAUUCUAUUUUAGGAAAGUUAUCAUUUUUGUGAAUGAUGGUGUGGAUUUGAGGUUUUGAUUUAGAAAUUAGGAUAACAAGAAUUUUUUUGUUUAUAGAUGAGUAUUCUUUUAGAUUUUUCGAUCAAUAGUUGUAUUUUUUAAAGAUAAUUCUUAAAAAAUUUAUUUUAGUGAAGUUUUCAUUUUUUUAUAGAAAUAUUGUAGAUUUGGGGUUGUGAUUUAGAAAAUAGGAAAACAAGAACUUUUGUGGAUAAAUGAGUAUUUUUUUUUUAAUUUUUUGAUCAAUAGGUUUUAUAUUUUAGAUAAAAUUCUCAAAAAUUCUAUUUUAGGAAAGUUUUCAUUUUUGUGAGUAAUGGUGUGGAUUUGGGGUUUUGAUUUAGAAAUUAGGAUAACAAGAAUUUUUUUGUUUAUAGAUGAGAAUUCGUUUUAGAUUUUUUGAUCAAUAGUUGUAUUUUUGAAAAUAAUUCUCAAAAAUUCUAUUUUAGGAAAUUUUUCAUUUUUUAUAGAAUUAUUGUAGAUUGGGGGUUGUGAUUUAGAAACUAGGAAAAUAAGAUCUUUUGCGGAUAAAUGAGUAUUUUUUUUUAAUUUUUUGAUCAAUAGGUUUUAUAUUUUAGAUAAAAUUCUCAAAAAUUCUAUUUUAGGAAAGUUUUCAUUUUUGUGAGUAAUAGUGUGGAUUUGGAGUUUUGAUUUAGAAAUUAGGAUAACAAGAAUUUUUUUGUUUAUAGAUGAGUAUUCUUUUAGGUUUUUUGAUCAAUAGUUGUAUUUUUAAAAAAAAAAUUCUCAAAAAUUCUAUUUUAAGAAAGUUUUCAUUUUUUUAGA
rnacentral:lncRNA from 1 species